rnacentral:misc_RNA from 1 species
GAUGAAGAACGUAGCGAAAUGCGAUAAGUAAUGUGAAUUGCAGAAUUCAGUGAAUCAUCGAAUCUUUGAACGCACAUUGCGCCCGCCAGUAUUCUGGCGGGCAUGCCUGUUCGAGCGUCAUUUCAACCAUCAAGCCCCAGGCUUGUGUUGGGGACCUGCGGCUGCCGCAGGCCCUGAAAACCAGUGGCGGGCUCGCUGUCACACCGGGCGUAGUAGAUUUUAUCUCGCUCAGGGCGUGCUGCGGGUUCCGGCCGUUAAAAAGCCUUUUUUACCCAAGGUUGACCUCGGAUCAGGUAGGAAGCCCCGCUGAACUUAAGCAUAUCAAUAAGCGGAGGA